GUCCGACAGUUUCAAGAAUGAAAUGAUUCCGGAGGCUCCUGUCGCUCCUAAUGGGACCAAAUAAGGCGAAUUCAACACCGACUACUAAGUUCAUCAGGCUCAUCCCUGACACUAAUUUGUCCACAUCUUUCAUCUUCCAUGUCAUCGUUCAGAGAUGGACCACUUCAACAGCAGCUGAGGGCGAUGGAAAGAGCGUGUACAGUGCCAGAUGUAACUCCCAUCUGACCAAAGAUCAUGAAUCAGCAGCAAACUCUCUCAGAGCACGAUCCUCCAUUGGUUCCUUCCCUAGACUGUUCCAUAUCGUCUGGUGAGGCAGCCUGACACGAGGAUGACUAAUGCUGACUGGACAGCAGUCUCAACAUGGUGCAGCACGGGGCUACCAGAUUCAAAGUUUCGUCUCAUGAGGACUGGUGGAGCUGCUUGAGGAGCGUCUGAUGGAGGGAUGGUAGCCGACAGACAUGGG